ACCAGGACUAAACCAGGACUAAACCAGCACUAAACCAGGACUAAACCAGCACUAAACCAGGUCUAAACCAGGACUAAACCAGGACUGAACCAGGACUAAACCAGAACUAAACCAGGACUAAACCAGAACUAAACCAGGACUGAACCAGGACUGAACCAGGACUGAACCAGGACUAAACCAGGACUAAACCAGAACUAAACCAGGACUAAACCAGAACUAAACCAGCACUAAACCAGAACUAAACCAGGACUAAACCAGGUCUAAACCAGGACUAAACCAGAACUAAACCAGCACUAAACCAGGACUAAACCAGCACUAAACCAGAACUAAACCAGGACUAAACCAGAACUAAACCAGGACUAAACCAGGACUAAACCAGCACUAAACCAGAACUAAACCAGGACUAAACCAGAACUAAACCAGAACUAAACCAGGACUAAACCAGGACUAAACCAGCACUAAACCAGGACUAAACCAGAACUAAACCAGGACUAAACCAGGUCUAAACCAGGACUAAACCAG
ensembl:lncRNA